rfam:Myotis lucifugus cont2.27706, whole genome shotgun sequence.
CAUGCACCAGUGGGGUCCCUCGGCCUGGCCUGUGGGAUCGGGCCGAAACCAGCUCUCCGACAUCCCCCGAAGGGUCCGAAAUUACAAGAGGGAGCAGGCCAGGCCGAGGGACCCCACCGGUGCAAG